UUAAUAGUGGAAGUACAUCUAAUUUUCCUUCUACAUGGUUCACUUUGUCAACUGUCCCAUAUCACAAGAUCUUAGCAUUUAAGUUUUAGCUUUUGUUUCAGGAUAUCUGAUGCAACACGUGUUGGAAAACAAGCCAAGGGAGAUCUGUUUUUGGAGCAUUGCCAUUCUCCAGCAAGUGUUGCGAUUCAUCUUCUUUUGCACCCAUCCUCGCCUCUGCAUCCAUGAGGACGCAUGUACGCUCGAUCCCAGAUUCUGGUCACAAUGACAACAUGAUCGACUAUGGCAGAAAACCACAGAGACAAGUUUAGGUAAACAUUGUGGUAAUUUCCUUCUUUAAGUUCAUGUUGUCUAUUUUAUUUGAUUCUUUUCUUCAUAGAAUUUGGGUGCUUAAAUUAUGGGGCUUAAAAAUUAUUGGAGGGAGGAUGGGAAAUUAUAACUAUGGUUACAUGCCCAGGAAUUGAAUUACUACAAUCCUUGGUACAUUGCGACUUGGUGAAUUCCACCAAUACUGCCUCUUUACUGACAGAGGAAAUGUAUUUCAAGGGUACAUUCAUAGAGUUCAGGGCAGGAAAUCUGUAAUGAUCAGUGUAUUCACCCAUAUGGAGAAAUUGUGGUCAAGAAGAAUGUGACUUUUUUAGAAUCAUGCCAAGCUUUCAGCCUAAAAGUGUGUCCGUGCUUCAUACAAAGUUUGGCUACUUGAACCUCGCAUUUUCUAUCACUGAGUGACAAGGUAAAUCUUUGACAAAAAAGACCUUAUUUUGCAACAAUGAUUGUUUUAAUAAAGUUUAUUAAAUGAGAGUUGAUUUGGUCUAUGGCAUAAUACUCAACAGAAAAAAUAUUAUACAUGCUAGUGCUAUCACUUAUUCUGCGGCAUUGUAACUCAUCCUAUUUUUUUCACUCUAGAACUAGCAACAUCCAUUGAAGGCAAACUGCGUAGCCGUCUAAGAAAAUUCUGUAACUACAGUGGAAUGCCAGAUAAAUGAUUUAUGUUGCUAGGCUAUGUCCCAAAUCUCCAUGG